CAGUAGCCGCGGUAAUACGAAGGGUGCAAGCGUUAAUCGGAAUUACUGGGCGUAAAGCGUGCGUAGGCGGUUUGUUAAGUCUGUUGUGAAAUCCCCCGGCUCAACCGGGGAGGGUCAUUGGAAACUGGGAAACUUGAGUGCAGAAGAGGAGAGUGGAAUUCCACGUGUAGCGGUGAAAUGCGUAGAGAUCUGGAGGAAUACCGGUGGCGAAGGCGGCCCCCUGGACAAAGACUGACGCUCAGGUGCGAAAGCGUGGGGAGCAAACAGGAUUAGAUACCCCAGUAGUCCCUGUCUCUUAUAC
rnacentral:rRNA from 1 species